UUGAGCCCAAGGAGUCUAACUUGUGCGCAAGUAACAAAGUUUACAUUCAAAACUUUCAUGCAAAAUGAAAGUGAAGGCACCCGCAAGGGAGCUGACGGAAGAUCCCCAGUGAUUGCCCUCCUUGUGUGGGACGGCUGGGGCGCACUCCGGGGGCAUCAUGACUGCAAUUGCCGGUCUGGUGCACCAAGAGCGUACACGUUGGGACCCGAAAGAUGGUGAACUAUGCCUGGCUAGGGCGAAGCCAGGGGAAACUCUGGUGGAGGCCCGUUUGGAUUCUGACGUGCAAAUCGAUCCUCACAGCUGGGUAUAGGGGCGAAAGACUAAUCGAACCAUCUAGUAGCUGGUUCCCCCCGAAGUUUCCCUCAGGAUAGCUGGUGCUCGUUUCAAGAUGAACAAGUUUCAUCCGGUAAAGCGAAUGAUUAGAGGCCUUGGGGGCGAAAUGACCUCAACCUAUUCUCAAACUUUAAAUGGGUGAGAAGCCGGGCUUCCUUGAAUGAAGCCUCGGCAUUCGAAUUGAUAGAGCACCCAGUGGGCCACUUUUGGUAAGCAGAACUGGCGCUGUGGGAUGAACCAAACGUUGAGUUACGGUGCCCGAAUGAACGCAAAUUUGACCCCAUGAAGGGUGUCGGUUGCUCCAGACAGCAGGACGGUGG
rnacentral:rRNA from 1 species